ACGGAUGAUCCGCUGUGGCGACCCCUAAUGGGAGCAGCCGAAAGAAGAAGAAGAAGUGUAGUGCACCGUUCUCCAUCAAGAGUAUAAAAGGCCAGAACACUGAGCAGCAGUCGGCAUUCCACAUCAGCCAUCUACCGAACAGCAGCGAGCAAUUGACAGAAAGAAUCACACACGAUCAAUUCUAAACCAAGUGAAGCUUGAGUGUGAAGAAUCCUGUACCGUGUUUUUACUGACACGCUGAGAGAUGAGGCGGUAGACGAUG